rnacentral:rRNA from 2 species
GGGUUGUGAGGUUAAGCGACUAAGCGUACACGGUGGAUGCCCUGGCAGUCAGAGGCGAUGAAGGACGUGCUAAUCUGCGAUAAGCGCCGGUAAGGUGAUAUGAACCGUUAUAACCGGCGAUUUCCGAAUGGGGAAACCCAGUGUGACUCGUCACACUAUCAUUAACUGAAUCCAUAGGUUAAUGAGGCGAACCGGGGGAACUGAAACAUCUAAGUACCCCGAGGAAAAGAAAUCAACCGAGAUUCCCCCAGUAGCGGCGAGCGAACGGGGAGGAGCCCAGAGCCUGAAUCAGCAUGUGUGUUAGUGGAAGCGUCUGGAAAGGCGCGCGAUACAGGGUGACAGCCCCGUACACAAAAGCGCAUGUGCUGUGAGCUCGAUGAGUAGGGCGGGACACGUGGUAUCCUGUCUGAAUAUGGGGGGACCAUCCUCCAAGGCUAAAUACUCCUGACUGACCGAUAGUGAACCAGUACCGUGAGGGAAAGGCGAAAAGAACCCCGGCGAGGGGAGUGAAAAAGAACCUGAAACCGUGUACGUACAAGCAGUGGGAGCCCCACCACCAAAGCAUUCUCUGGUGUUGAAGGCCCUGCAAAGCAGCAUCGCGGUGGCGGAGCGUCGUUUGCGACGCCCAACACACAAAACAAGCGGUGAGUGCUUUGGGGUGGGGUGACUGCGUACCUUUUGUAUAAUGGGUCAGCGACUUAUAUUCUGUAGCAAGGUUAACCGAAUAGGGGAGCCGUAGGGAAACCGAGUCUUAACCGGGCGUUAAGUUGCAGGGUAUAGACCCGAAACCCGGUGAUCUAGCCAUGGGCAGGUUGAAGGUUGGGUAACACUAACUGGAGGACCGAACCGACUAAUGUUGAAAAAUUAGCGGAUGACCUGUGGCUGGGGGUGAAAGGCCAAUCAAACCGGGAGAUAGCUGGUUCUCCCCGAAAGCUAUUUAGGUAGCGCCUCGUGAAUUCAUCUCCGGGGUAGAGCACUGUUUCGGCUAGGGGGCCAUCCCGGCUUACCAACCCGAUGCAAACUGCGAAUACCGGAGAAUGUUAUCACGGGAGACACACGGCGGGUGCUAACGUCCGUCGUGAAGAGGGAAACAACCCAGACCGCCAGCUAAGGUCCCAAAGUCAUGGUUAAGUGGGAAACGAUGUGGGAAGGCCCAGACAGCCAGGAUGUUGGCUUAGAAGCAGCCAUCAUUUAAAGAAAGCGUAAUAGCUCACUGGUCGAGUCGGCCUGCGCGGAAGAUGUAACGGGGCUAAACCAUGCACCGAAGCUGCGGCAGCGACGCUGAUGCGUUGUUGGGUAGGGGAGCGUUCUGUAAGCCUGCGAAGGUGGCCUGUGAGGGUUGCUGGAGGUAUCAGAAGUGCGAAUGCUGACAUAAGUAACGAUAAAGCGGGUGAAAAGCCCGCUCGCCGGAAGACCAAGGGUUCCUGUCCAACGUUAAUCGGGGCAGGGUGAGUCGACCCCUAAGGCGAGGCCGAAAGGCGUAGUCGAUGGGAAACGGGUUAAUAUUCCCGUACUUGGUGUUACUGCGAAGGGGGACGGAGAAGGCUAUGUUGGCCGGGCGACGGUUGUCCCGGUUUAAGCGUGUAGGUGUGUGUUCCAGGUAAAUCCGGUUCACUUUAACACUGAGGCGUGAUGACGAGGCACUACGGUGCUGAAGCAACAAAUGCCCUGCUUCCAGGAAAAGCCUCUAAGCAUCAGGUAACAUCAAAUCGUACCCCAAACCGACACAGGUGGUCAGGUAGAGAAUACCAAGGCGCUUGAGAGAACUCGGGUGAAGGAACUAGGCAAAAUGGUGCCGUAACUUCGGGAGAAGGCACGCUGACACGUAGGUGAAGUGAUUUACUCAUGGAGCUGAAGUCAGUCGAAGAUACCAGCUGGCUGCAACUGUUUAUUAAAAACACAGCACUGUGCAAACACGAAAGUGGACGUAUACGGUGUGACGCCUGCCCGGUGCCGGAAGGUUAAUUGAUGGGGUCAGCGCAAGCGAAGCUCCUGAUCGAAGCCCCGGUAAACGGCGGCCGUAACUAUAACGGUCCUAAGGUAGCGAAAUUCCUUGUCGGGUAAGUUCCGACCUGCACGAAUGGCGUAAUGAUGGCCAGGCUGUCUCCACCCGAGACUCAGUGAAAUUGAACUCGCUGUGAAGAUGCAGUGUACCCGCGGCAAGACGGAAAGACCCCGUGAACCUUUACUAUAGCUUGACACUGAACAUUGAGCCUUGAUGUGUAGGAUAGGUGGGAGGCUUUGAAGUGUGGACGCCAGUCUGCAUGGAGCCGACCUUGAAAUACCACCCUUUAAUGUUUGAUGUUCUAACGUGGACCCGUGAUCCGGGUUGCGGACAGUGUCUGGUGGGUAGUUUGACUGGGGCGGUCUCCUCCUAAAGAGUAACGGAGGAGCACGAAGGUUGGCUAAUCCUGGUCGGACAUCAGGAGGUUAGUGCAAUGGCAUAAGCCAGCUUGACUGCGAGCGUGACGGCGCGAGCAGGUGCGAAAGCAGGUCAUAGUGAUCCGGUGGUUCUGAAUGGAAGGGCCAUCGCUCAACGGAUAAAAGGUACUCCGGGGAUAACAGGCUGAUACCGCCCAAGAGUUCAUAUCGACGGCGGUGUUUGGCACCUCGAUGUCGGCUCAUCACAUCCUGGGGCUGAAGUAGGUCCCAAGGGUAUGGCUGUUCGCCAUUUAAAGUGGUACGCGAGCUGGGUUUAGAACGUCGUGAGACAGUUCGGUCCCUAUCUGCCGUGGGCGCUGGAGAACUGAGGGGGGCUGCUCCUAGUACGAGAGGACCGGAGUGGACGCAUCACUGGUGUUCGGGUUGUCAUGCCAAUGGCACUGCCCGGUAGCUAAAUGCGGAAGAGAUAAGUGCUGAAAGCAUCUAAGCACGAAACUUGCCCCGAGAUGAGUUCUCCCUGAGACUUUAGGUCUCCUGAAGGAACGUUGAAGACGACGACGUUGAUAGGCCGGGUGUGUAAGCGCAGCGAUGCGUUGAGCUAACCGGUACUAAUGAACCGUGAGGCUUAACCUUACAACGCCGAAG